GGAUCACUCACUCCAUUGGACCAGCCACGACGAUGGUGGAGGCUGUUAGUGUCGUGCAUGGCUCUAGUGCAAAAGAAAUGUGUCCCGCAGAGGAUGAAGAAACGGGCCCACGGGAAAAGGAGCUGGGCACAUGCCACUCGGUUCACUGGCCAUUUCAGUGCCUCUUUUGAUUCACGGAAUUCUGAAAACGUAGGAAUAUGGAUUUUAUAGGAUUGCAGUGUCGUGCUCAUUUUUGAAUCCUAAUACAUUAUUUUGGUUUGUUUGAUUGCAUCACAGGAAAAAAAAAUCAUUCCUUUCUCGAAAAAAGUGUUCUUUUCAAGAGAUUUGAGUGGAUGCUAUUUUUUUUUAUGGAAUGUGGUAUAGUAUAAAGGAAUGCUUCUGCAAAAUUCCUAUAUGAUUCAAUCCUAUGAAUCAAACAACCAUUGUAGGAAAAUUUUCUAAGGAUUAUAACCAUCCAAAAUUUCUACAAAUAUCCAUUGAAUCAAAUUGCAUGUGGUUGCGAAAAUAACCACCGACAAAUAAGAGAUCGCUAUGCUACUACUAAGCCGAAAAUUGUACCGUCUCAUGUGAUUCAUGCAUGUACUUUAGUGGCGAUUAGGACUGUAUUUUAUGCUUAGACUGUUCAAUCUGUUUAGUUUAAAAGCUACUCCCUCCAUCUCAUAAUGUAAGACGUUUUUGCAAGCUAAAAUAGGAGUAGUUGUAAAUAUGAGCUACGUAAUUUUUUUUCUAGAUUCGAAGGAUUUUUACAGGAAAUAGUUCAACUACAGUGCACAAAUUUCUUACCUUCAAACGUGCAGGGGUCCCUUAUUUUCAGCUCAUGGGAUGACUUACGGACCCAGAAUGCCAUAAGCUGAAAAGAGGCAUAGCUUAUGCACAACUGCGGAAUUAAGCCCCUCUAUUGACUUUGCCGUCAAUGUUGGUAAAAAUUUACCCACUAGCUGUCAUCUCCCAUAUCCUGAGAACCAAGGCCCUUGCACAAAUCUGUUGCCUCUUCUACUUUUAGGCCGUCGAGGUAGACCUUAUAGGUUGGCUAUUAUUCACUGCAUAGUAAUUCCAGCUAGUGACAACCGGGACUAUUACAAAAUUGCUAUUGUACUCAGGACUCUUCUACUUUUACCAUGACUCAUUAGAUAUUCUUGUAUGUUCCUGGACUCUUGCUGGAAGCUGGAUCCUACCCUUCUUAAUUACUCCUAUAGCCGAAUUUGCAUGGACUCCAUCGCGUUGGAAUCUCUGCAGAAUAUGGAUCAUCAAAAUCGUUGUGGAGGCUAUCGCUAAAAAUUAUGUAAGCUCUCCAUAGCUCAUGCUCAAACUCAGAAUCGCUAUAAAAAGUGUCACCAUCUUUUCCUACGUUUGGGACCCGUUUGUGUUAGCAGCGUAGGCCCAGCUCCGAGUCCAUCGGCAUAUGUUUGGACGUUUCCGGUGCGCAUCGGACACUCCACUACAAGCGGAGAGCCCACUACAUCCCAAAAGACCGGCCUGAAGGGAGUGUGCCAUUCUCCCUUAUAAGGAGCUCCUAGCCUCCUCCCAUAUCCGUGGUGGGACUAAAGUCACUAGCACUGUCCAAGGUCAGGUUCCUGGCACCCCACCCCCCUAGGGAAGCCCCCCUUAGGGUGGUGUGGGGCCCAGCUCUGAUACCACUUGUUAGCAGCCUAGGCCCAGCUCCCGGUCCAUCGGCAUAUGUUCGGACGUUUCCGGUGCGCAUCGGACACCUGGGACGGAGCUUGCAUGUAGGCAUUGGGGUCAAUUGACCCCAAUGAAAUUACUAAAUCCUUCAUUUACUUAGUAUUAAUCAUUUUUGAUUUAUAGAAGAUGACCCCAUUGCCAUGGAUAUGACCCCAUCAAGCUUUUUUUCUAGCUUCGUCCCUGUCGGACACUCCACUACAAGCGGAGAGCCCACAACAUCUCAAAAGACCGGCUUGAAGGGAGUGUGGCACUCUCCCUUAUAAGGAGCUCCUAGCCUCCUCCCAUAUCCGUGGUGGGACUAAAGUCACUAGCACUGCCCAAGUAAGUUUGCAGUUGAGAAGGUUGGUGAUUGCAGCCCUUCGUCGCCGUCUAAGCCCAUAGCCACCACCCUGCUUUUGGCAAAGUUGAUUUUAAAACUUGGCAUGACUUUGAAACAGAAGAGGAUAAUCUUGAUUGUGGUGAUGCUCUGUUUGUCUGGCUCAAACAGAAGCAAAUUGUGGUCGGUGCAUUGAAGUUUUAUCAGAUUUCCGAGAAGGGACUCAAAUGCACAGCUCAGCUGCCAGGAUGUCCUCUCCUAAGAUGCACCCUAAGCGGAUUAUAAAAUUAAACACACACAGCUUUGCUUUUAGUUGAAAAUGAAGGGUCGGAAUCCUUUUAAACAAAUUAUUGACAAUGGAAUUUUAAAGUGUAUUCCAGAAAGAA